rnacentral:lncRNA from 1 species
CUCCACCAGAGCUGCUUAUUUUAGCUCUCGCUAGACAUUUCAGCAAAUGGCACUUUCCAAAGGCUGCAGUGUCUCAGACACGGAUUGCACCGGUGGUUUCACUGGAAUCCCACACCUUGGGAGGGAGGAGAGCCUGUGAACAUCCUGCAUCUCCAGGCUACCUGGCCUGAACUGUCCCACACUCUUCACCUCUCACAAAUGGUGGGGACUAUGACAAGCUUGGAGGCUCCCCUCUGCAUUUCUGUUUUCUUUUCCUUGGUGGCAGUGUUCUUAUCACCACCUGGCACUGGGAGCUCAGAGAAUGUAGAAAGGAGCAAACAGAGGGCGGAAAAAGGUCUAGCUCCUGGAUUCAGAUGCUAAGGCACGUUUCCCAGCUCUGGACUCAUAGUCAGGAGACCUGCCCUGGAUCAAGAUGAUGUUAACACACGUAAUACAAAUGGAUUUGAAAAGGAUGCAUGAGAUCAGGUACCUUAGCUUGACAGGGGGAUUCCUGAGCUAGCUGGCGUCAAAGUACAUGAACGCUGUCUGUGCUUCCUCAGUCCCCCCAGAUGGCCACUGGUGACUGCUGACCCCAAGAGCUGACCUGCUGCUGACGCAGGCAGAAUUAUGGUGCUAACCACAGUCAUCAUAAUUAGAGCUAAUAAUGUCAAAAAAAGUCUGCUGCCAUGGGCUCUGCUCUGCUAAAAGUCUAAAAAUUCAACAGAGAAAAGAUAUGCCUUCUCUAAGAAAUCCACUUAUUAGUUCAUAGAACAAUGUAUGUUUAGAAAGAAACAACUUAAAGCUCCACUACAUUUUAGAAUUAUCAAGUUCAUCCCAAACCGAGGACUUCCCUAACAAUGCCUGUAAUACCAUCUUAGAAUGAAUUUUCCAUUCAAUUCAGAAACACUGGCUCAUCAGUAUUUCAGUUUUACAUCUCUUUCUGCAAUAAAACUGUUGACAUAUUUGGGGAAGAAUUACAGUGCAUGGCAAGAAUAAAGCUACCAAACAUUCAUGACAUAUAAAUAAUUCUUUGUCACUAUUCAUAAAUACGUUUCUUGCAUUCAUAGACCUGCUUCAAUAAAGGCCAUACUGCUAUUAUAUUUUUAAGUAUUUUUGUUCUUCUUAUCACUAUUCAUUGACGAGACUAGCAUGUAUGUUAAGUGUUUGCCCCUCUCAAACUUGAAUUAUUCCAUUAAUGACAUUCACUUGAGUAUCAACACCACCUCUUGCUAAACUGCUACCUCUUAUAAAGAAACGAGCACAAUUCUGUAUA